rnacentral:lncRNA from 1 species
CCAGCAUAAAAUACUCAAGAAUGGUAUAGGAUACUGACAUAGAGUGGUCGCCAGCUAGUGUCAUGAUUAGUGUUUGCAUUUUACGAUGGGAGUGUGCCUCCGAAUGAACAUUAGGAAAAUGGUUUAAACCUGAGAAAUUUAUCGCUUGUCUCUUUCGGCUAUCAAAAAGAAAUGCAGCCAGUGCCUUGUCAUACGGCAGCUCAUACAUAUUGGAUGCAUUUUAUGGACAGUAUUAUUAUGGGCUCAAUUUAGCAAUAGUCCCCAUUGGAUUGGUUCCUGCUGAGUAGUAAGCCUAUGUGAUACUUAAUGCUUCCUUGGGAAGACAGCUCCACAGCUAUCCGCUUGAAGAAGGUUUAAACCGCUUGAAGAAGGUUUAAACCGCUUGGAUCUACGUCAUUUAUAUUAUUUCACCGAAAAUCAGCAUCCCUAGCCUUGUUGGCUAAGUAGUAUGCUACCACGUUCCCCUCUCGAUAGAUAUGCUGCAUUAUGAAAUCUUCAACGGGUUGCCCUCCAAUUCCAAAUAUCCUGCAGAAAAUAAAAAUGAUGAUAUUUUGGGUUUUGAAAAUUUUGACUCCAAUGUAUAAUAGUGAUAGAGUCAUCUUCCAAAACUAUAUGAGCAGCGUGAAAUUGAGUUAUAGCAGCACACAUACCUGGUCAAACAGCAAUCAUCUCAGCAAAAAAGACGGUGACAUUUUAUAAUUUUUUUCCUCAUGCUUGUAAAAAUUGAGCUGAAUGAUCUCUAAUCACGUAAGCAGCAGAAACCUUAUUAGAAUGAAGAGAACCAUCAAAGUUAAUUUUAAUAUACCCAUAGGGAGCGGGUAGCUAAGAGACACUACUAGAUCCACUCUAUAGAGCAGAAUGAAAAUUAAGACUACCCUAGUACUUGGACGGGUGCCUUUCAAAAUCAUUCAACAAAGUAUGUUCAAAUAUACGGUUGUUUCUCUCAUGCCAGAUAAGCCAAGUGGUACAAGCAACAAAUUUUUUAUUCUCAAAAGAAUUAUCCUUAUUGGUCAUGUAAUCGAAUAAAUCAAUCAAAGAAUGAAAUAAGCAUGGUAUUUGCUUCAUUUGAUUAAUAUAAGACCAGACUUGAUAAGCAAAAGAACAAUUUAUAAAUAUGUGCUCACAAUCUUCUAUAACAUUCGGACACAGAUCACAAAAAUGAUGAUGAGCAGGAAUGAUGUUGUAGUGAGCAAGAUAUUGCUUAGUAGGCAAGCGGCCCCAAAUUAAUUGCCACCAAAAGUAUCAUACACGAGGCUGCAUGGAAAGUUUUUAAAUUAGAUUAAACAAAUGAGUAUAUUCAUGCACAUGCAUUUAAGAAGAAGAAGAAGAUAUAUCUUUAA